GGCCCAGAUCGUUUACCGUGAAAAAAUUAGAGUGUUCAAAGCGGGCAGAAACUUUUUCCUGCCACCGAAUACAUUAGCAUGGGAUAAUGGAAUAGGACCCUGACCUCCUAUUUUCAGUUGGUUUUGUUUACAGUGAGGUUCAUCAGGGUAAUGAUUAAUAGGGAUAGUUGGGGGCAUUAAUAUUUAAUUGNCNNAGGUGAAAUUCUUGGAUUUAUGAAAGAUUAACUUCUGCGAAAGCGUUUGCCAAGGAUGUUUUCAUUAAUCAAGAACGAAAGUUANGGGAUCNAANACGAUCAGAUACCGUCGUAGUCUUAACCAUAAACNAUGCCGACCAGCGAUUANGAGACGUUGAAUACAAAACACCGCUGUUAAUCCUUUUCAACGAGGGUUAAUGGNUGGNGNAUGACUCCCCUAGCUUGUGAGA
rnacentral:rRNA from 1 species